GGAGGAAUGGAGUGCUGUGGUGGUAGGAAUAACAUCUACAAUUGAAUGCUUCUUGUCAUGGAAAUUUCUGGUUGUUUGCUUCAUGUUAUUUUUGAAGAUGUGGCUAACUCUGAAUAGACAGUGCAGCCAAUCACAUCCAGAAGUAACAGAGUCAAGAACAGCUGGUUAGUGAGGCUGAGUGCAAGGGUGAGAAUCAUCUGUUCCACAGAAGCCUCAACGCAGCAUUGUAUAGUUCACCAUUCAGAUAAGU
rnacentral:lncRNA from 1 species